rnacentral:lncRNA from 1 species
CCAGGGCCCUCGGGAUGGAGUGGCUGCGGCUGGGGCCUGCCGGGCUCAGCCGCGCGACGACCGCAGCUCCCUUUACGGUCCUGCCCGAGGUGACCUGGUUGUGGGUGCUGCCCCCUGGUGUGUGCUUUCCUGGCUGUUGGCGAGCUGUGCCUCGUCCCCGGGCUCAGAGUCCUGCAUUCAGCCCCCUGGACGUCUUUGCCCACGUCCUUCCUGUUUUGGCCUUUCGCUCUGACUUCUGGAAUUCCUCGUAUUGGCGGUUCUCGAUGGAAGCCCGUUGUACCCCCCGGGGGACGUUUGGCAGAGCGGCUCUGAUGGCUCCAGCCCCCUUGGGCUCCCAGGGUCGUGGCUGUUCCUGCAAACACUCACACAUCCAGUUAUUGCCCCCAGCGUGGCCGCCAGGCCUGCCCCGUGGGUGUCCAGGUCUAGGUCAUAGGAUUGGCCCUGGGUCACCACUGGUCAGGCUUCCUCCUCCGUGUUCCUCCCUUGGGCUGGGAUCUGAUCCUCAACGGCAGAGGAAGGGGCUGGGGUCACUGCCACAUGCAGGUGACCAGCUCAGGCUGCACGGGCUCUGGGAGAGGCAGCCUCCACCAGGCCACCUGUCAUCUCGUCCCUUCGCCCUCGGGGCAGGAAGGAUCCGCCCAGGUGUCUCGGCUCGUGCUCUGGCCUCCUCCCCCAACAAAGGGGUCUACCCCACUGUGACGGCCAUGUCCACCCACCAGAGGAGGGCUAACGCUUCUCAGGCUAGAAAGUCACUUUUUGGAAUGGCGGUACACCUGUGAUUUACCUGUGGCUUGGGGAUUGUUGCCAAGGCCACCCCCAGGGGCUCGGUGAACACCCAGUAUGGCACAGCGGCACAGCGUAAACCACGUCACCGCCCGGACCCCAGGGCAGGGCAGCGUGGGGCUUUGAUGCAGAGAUGCUGGGAAGGGGGACUUGAGGGACCGCAACCACAGCCGCUCCUGUCAAUUAGCCUGUCUUCGAAAUGAGAUGUGGGAGCUCACCGUAACGCGAGUGUGCUUGGAAGCAUGGAUUUUCUGAUGUCGUUUUGCUGACAAUACUGUUUACCUGGUAUCGGUCAAUGAG